rnacentral:rRNA from 2 species
GAUUCGUCACACUAUCAUUAACUGAAUCCAUAGGUUAAUGAGGCGAACCGGGGGAACUGAAACAUCUAAGUACCCCGAGGAAAAGAAAUCAACCGAGAUUCCCCCAGUAGCGGCGAGCGAACGGGGAGGAGCCCAGAGCCUGAAUCAGCAUGUGUGUUAGUGGAAGCGUCUGGAAAGGCGCGCGAUACAGGGUGACAGCCCCGUACACAAAAGCGCAUGUGCUGUGAGCUCGAUGAGUAGGGCGGGACACGUGGUAUCCUGUCUGAAUAUGGGGGGACCAUCCUCCAAGGCUAAAUACUCCUGACUGACCGAUAGUGAACCAGUACCGUGAGGGAAAGGCGAAAAGAACCCCGGCGAGGGGAGUGAAAAAGAACCUGAAACCGUGUACGUACAAGCAGUGGGAGCACCCUUCGGGGUGUGACUGCGUACCUUUUGUAUAAUGGG